AUGAUUCAUAUGAUAGGUAACUUUGGUAAUGGACUCAAGCCUCCUACAUAUCAUGAAGCAAGAGUUGUAUUUCUGGAGAAAUAAGUUCAGAAUAUGAUCAAUGUGAUUUCUGAGUACAAAGAAGAGUGGAAAACUGGUUGUAUUAUCAUGUCUGAUGGCUGGACAGAUACAAAGAAAAAGUCACUUUGCAAUUUCUUGGUGAACAACCCAAAAGGUACUAUUUUUUUGACAUCAAUUGACACAUCUGAAAUUAGCAAGACAGCUGAUAAGGUAUUUGACAUGUUAGAUCAGAUAGUAGAGCGGGUCGGAGGGGAAAAUGUUAUCCAAGUUGUUACUGACAAUGCAUCCAAGUAUAAAGCAGCUAGUGAUCUCUUAAUGGAAAAGAGAAAGCUCUACUGGACACCUUGUGGUGCACAUUGCAUUGACUUGAUGCUUGAGGAUUUUGAAAAGAAAAUUAAGAUGCAUGCCACUAAAAUCACAAAGGGACGUAAAAUCACUGCUUUCAUCUAUUCUAGGACUAUGCUUAUUGCAUAGUUGAGAGAAUUUACAGAAGGAAAGGAUUUGAUAAGGCCUGCUGUCACAAGAUUUGCUACAGCUUACUUGACUCUGUCUUGUCUUGAGCAACAUAAAGGUGCACUAAUCAAUAUGUUUAGUUCAGUUAAAUGGAAGGCUAGCCGCUUUGCUUCUUCAAUAGAGGGUAAAAGAGUUCAAGAUAUUGUCAUGGACAGUAAAGGAUUUUGUCCUAAUGUUGUGGCAUGCUUGAAAGCUGCGAUGCCUCUAAUCAGGGUCCUUAGAAUGGUUGAUUCUAAUGACAAGCCAACCAUGCCAUUUAUCUAUGCUCAGAUGGAGCAAGCAAAGGAGAGGAUAAAGGACAAUUUUAACAAAGUGAAGAAAAGGUACGUUUCAGACCAGACUAACAUGAGUACGCACUUUUAUUCUAUUUAUCACUACUUUCUUUGUUUCACUGAUUUUUGUCCCAUAUUUUCAGUUAUAUUCAAAUAUGGAAUAUUAUUAAUGAAAGAUGGGAAACACAACUCCAGAGGCCUCUGCAUUCAGCUGCAUAUUAUCUGA
rnacentral:rRNA from 1 species